AUGACAGUGGAGGCUCAGAGGGUUGACAUUGGUGUUCUUUCGUGGCUGUCUCUGAGCUUCCCAAUUCCGAAUGCUUCGAGGCUGAAAUUUCUUUAUCACUGGAGACCUCAUCCUUAUCCAACGAACUUUGCCCAUAGACGAGAUUUUUCCCCAGUACUCCAUGUGAUAUCACCGACCACGGCGUUGAUACGUUUUUUAUAAAUCUCUGAUUUUCUCUGAUGGUAGAUUUUUCAUGGCUGUUGUCGUUCUCCAUUCUUCCUGAAUCCUCUUAGCUACUUCGUACAACUGUGCUCUCUCCCGCAUUGUUAAUUUUAACUGAAAUUUCUAGAAUGUGUUCACUUCUUCUGCAUGAUGCUCGAUUGUAAUCUUCUCCCUCCACCGAUAAUAUAAUCUUUUUCCCAAUUGCAGCAGAUCGGAGCUAAAACGAGAAUAAUGUGAUGAUUUUUAGGUUGGAUUACGUAGGUUAAUUGAGUAUGAAUGGGGGUUGGAUAAGAGUGUAUAAGUGGGCUAGAAGCUAGAUUUAAGUGGUUUGGGCUACUGUAAUUAAUUUAGGCCUGCCUUACUAUAUCAUUCAUAUCUUCCACGUGUUGGGCCAACUCCAUAUCGUAGUCCAACCCUAUCUCCUUCAGCAAUUUCUUUUUGUUUCUACUGUCCAGAUUCAGAUUCUUCAGUUUUAACCCAUUACCAGAGAAAUUUCCCCAUCAUCGAGCUCUGUCAUCUUCUCCACCUUUGGCAAUAGUAAUGCUAAGAUUUCGGUUGAACUCCCAUCUCUGAUGAUUCUCUUAGGCCGAUCCUGGUGCGCUCUAUUCACCCCAACUUUACCAGAUCAAUGUGGAUAUGCAUGGGUAAUUCCCGAUGAAGUAGCGACCUCCUUUUCCUUUCUAGCCAGCUCCUUCCAGCGAUCUGUGCUACGGCUAUUUGCUCCGACUUCCUUCAAUUUUGGAAAGCUCUCAGAAGCGAUGGUGAGUUUCAGAUCCACAUUGUUUUCGGUCAGAUUAAGUGCAAUUCCCUUUUCUUUCCUACCGCUUUCGUGAAUUUCCUUUUUCUACAAUUCGAAUUUCUCCUCCUCUUCUAGUGAUGACAGUUCCUUUGUGCAAUGGAAUAUUUUCUCCACUGAUGAUGACGAUGGGGACACAUGUACUUUACCUGGCUAUUCUUCUCGUGCCGUCUCCCGAUUCAACUCAUUCCCCUACUUCCAAUCUGAAAAUUUACCAACGGAGAUCUGCUUCAUGGGAAAUCAAACCAUCAUCCUCACCUUCAAUUCUACCCAAGUCUCUAUUGGAUAGCUAUUGUCUAUCUUUUGGAACCAUGCCCAAGUCUCUCCAUAAAAGCAAGCAACUGUGGCUUCUACCUUUUUCCUCUCCGGUAAGCCGCGAUUCUUGUCUAGGCAUCAUUUUACCUCAAUCAGCCACGAAUCUAAAUUGUCCCCAUAGAAUAACAAUGUGUUGAGUCAGCCACAUGAACCCAACCCUGAAUCAUCAUUUUGAUCUCCUUCAUGUCGCCUUAACCUCAUCUCCAACAUACUCAUUACGAAGUUUAAACUCUCCUGUACUUCUCUGCUAAACAUAGUUUCCCUUUAUCUAAGAAUCGAAGGCUCUGAUACCAAUUGAUAGGAUCCUAAUUACUUCUAUUGAAUUCUUCUAUUGAUGAAUAGAGUCGAUGCUGCUGUUGCUCCUAUCUGGACCUGUGAAGUGUUGAUGAACCUGUCUUGUGGAUGAUUACUGGAUCUAGUUAGGUAGUUAAUAUGGUGGCUGAUUUAUGUAAUGGAAAGUGCAGAUGUAAUUGACAAAAUAAGCAAUAUGAAUUAGCUGGGAAGGAUGGAUUGUGAACAAUAAAUUAUUGUACUGUUUAUUCAAAUGAAAUGAAGAACGUAAAGUAAAUGAAAUGAAAAUUCCCAAGGCAUUCGAGAUGUCUUGGUCUCUCCCCAGUUUUCCCAAUCUUUCCUAAAUGAUUUCUCAGUUUUCUCCCUCAUUACAUUUAUAGAGAAUUUACUAGUUUGUUAUUACAAUUCUACCCUUUUCCUAACUAUGGAAUUCUCUAGAAUAGUAAACUAAUAACAACUUGUAUUGGAAUAUUGGAGAUGGGGAUCUACCAAGGAGCCACGAGAAUGAAAAGAAAAGCAAUCUUCUGAGAUGAGAAAAAAGAAAAUAGCGAAUUUCUUUUUAAAAGAGAGUGAGCUAAGGAGAGCGGCAGUCGAGAAAAGGGAAAUGAUUUUGUUGGUCUACAAAGAGUCACUUCUCAAUUUUGAGAAAACUAAUCCAUCCCUCCCCAGUUUGGCUAAAUCUUUAUUACAAGAGUUCGAGGAUGUAUUUCCAGAGGAUGUACCUAAUGGAUUGCCACCCAUUCGAGGCAUUGAGUACCAAAUUGACUUCAUACCGGGAGCUGUCAUUUCCAACCGACCAGCUUACUGAAGUAAUCCCGAGGAGACAAAUGAGCUUCAGAGGCAAGUGAAGGAGCUGAUAAGCAAGGGCUAUGUUAGGGAGAGCAUGAGUCAGUGUAUCGUACUAGUACUGUUUGGUGCCAAAGAAACAUAAGACAUGGAGGUUGUGCAUGGACUGCAGAGCCAUCAAUAAUAUAAUGAUAAAGUAUCGUCAUCCUAUCUCUAGAUUAGAUGACAUGGUGAUGAAUUACAUAGUGCAUACAUUUUUAGUAAAAUUGAUCUUAAAAGUGGUUAUCAUCAAAUCCGAAUAAGGGAAGAAGAUGAGUGGAAAACUGUAUUUAAGACCAAAUAUGAACUAUAUGAGUGGUUGGUAAGGCCACUUGGACUCACUAAUGCACUGAGCACUUUCAUGAGUUUAAUGAAUCAUUUUUUGCGUUUUUUUAUAGAAAAAUUUGUUGUGGUUUAUUUUGAUGACAUUUUAGUGUACAGAAAAGACCUAAAUAAGCAUGUGGAGCAUUUAAGAAAUGUGCUAGUGGCGUUAAGGAAAGAACAUCUCUACGCAAAUUUUAAGAAAUGUACUUUUUGCAUAGAAAAUGUCGUCUUUCUAAAUUUUGUGGUUAGUGCAAAUGGAGUAGAGAUAGAUGAGGAGAAGAUAAAAGUUGUUAAAGAUUGAUCUACACCUAAGAGUAUAAUCGAAGUGAGGAGUUUUCACAGGUUGGCUAGUUUUAUAUGCGGUUUGUAAAGACUUUAGCACAAUCACUAUACCACUCACGAAAGUAGUAAAGAAGAGCAUAGGCUUUCAUUGGGACGAUAAAUAGGAGCAUGCAUUUAAUACUAUUAACGAUAAAUUAUGUAAAGCACCUAUUUUAGCAUUACCUAAUUUUGAAAAAAAUGUUCAAGAUUGAGUGUGAUGUAUCAGGAAUAGAUAUUGGAGCAGUUUUAAUGCAGGAUAGGAGGCCUAUAGCUUAUUUCAGUGAAAAGAUGAGUGGGGGUUGUACUAAACUACCUAACUUAUGACAAAGAGCUAUACUCAUUUGUUCAGGCGUUGGAAACAUGGCAGAAUUACCUAUGGCCUAAGGAGUUCAUUAUUUACACCGAUCAUGAGUCGUUGAAGCACUUGUAAGGUCAAGGAAAGCUAAAUAAGAGGCACGCCAGUUGGAUGGAGUUUAUUGAAACAUUUCAUUACGUCAUUUGGUACAAGCAAGGUGAGCAUGGAACUACAUAGAGAGCACGACUAGCAAUGGAGCUCUUACAGGAUUCUAGAGUUCGAUGUACAUGGAUGACGACCCGUAGAGUUAUUUUGUGGGCUAUUAUUUUGAGCGUAUGCUCUAUUGUGUUAUAUGUUAGGGAUCCUGUGUUGUAUAUCUUUUAACAUGGCCUGUAGACAUAUUUAUAACCUCAAAAUAUAUAUGUUCGAUUAUGGUGA